CGCCUGAAAAAUUUCAAACCCUGUAUUGGGAAGUGGAGAGGAGUCUACAGUGGAUAUUAAAUUGGAUGGAAUUUGUAGUUAUGUCCGUAAAUACUGAGUUUCAGCUGCCACCUGGCAUAUAACCUCUUAAUUCAAGGCUGAGGAAUUUUGGGGGGGGUGGCUUCUGACCACAAGAAGGGAGCAGACAAGCUUCCUGUUUUGUGAGUGAUCUCCUUGAGACCCCAGUCAUGAAUUUAAUGAAGCCUAGAAACAAUUAGGGUUCUACCUAUCCAGGCCCUGAGCCCAACUCAGUUUCCUGUCACCACCAGACAGGCCCAAGGGUGUCUACCAUCCAGGACUUAGCUCUUUUCCUUCUGUUCCUUUCUUUUCCCUAUCAAAGCCCUCUCAGUCUCUCAUCUGUGAUAUAAUAGUGUAUCCCCUUCUUACUGGAUAGGAGGAAAACUAAUUCCCAAAGUGACUUUAAAAUCACUUUGAUGUCAUUGGAGAAGUCACUAAGCAGUUAAGAGCGUUGCUACGUUCAAGGAAUUAAAUGAAUAUUGCCUUUCCUGAGUUUCCCCGCCCUCACUGAAGAGUUCCCUUUGCUUUCUAAUUAGUGCAGCAUUCUGCCUUAUCGGUUAAUUCCGGUGUCGAGCUGCUAAAGGCUCUGCAGUUAGUCUGGUAAUAAGGCAGACAUUUGUGGUGGUCCUAAAUUGGAAGCCAGAAAUGGUACUAGACUGAAUUUGGGUGUGGGCCCACCAUAGUAGCCGAGCAUUGUGUGGGAUUGGGGAAGAGUGUUUAUCCUUAGUCCAGGAUUGGGGAUGUGAAAAAGAUUUUAGGUAAAAGAAAACCAGGCGUAGUAAGAAGGGCUACCUUUAAGUUCCUGUGGUGGGGGUACACUUAAGAUCUACUUUAUAACAGGUUACACCUAUAUAUGAAUGUUCAAUCCAUGGGCAGUAGUAAUUACAGAAGACUUACCACAGUUUUUGGGAACCUAACAAGAGAGGUUGGGACAUCACUGCAUUGAUAGUCCUGACUUAAGGGACACAUUUAAAAUUAGAAAAAAAAAAAUAUUUCUUCCUUUCUCCUGAAUUAGUACCUUGACUAUAAGUGGUCUUGGAAGAUAGGAACAAUAUUGCAAAGAUAACUAAACAGCUGUCCAAAUGGAAUUUUAAAAAGUGUUGAGAAUUGGGGAUCUAAUCUUGAGAUUGAAUACUUUUCAGUAUAUAAGAUCUGGCAAUUGGUGUCAGUCGCCAGGAAGGAGUCUUAGGUGGAAGAUGAUAGGUGAUUAUCAGUUAGGCAGGUAGUCACCAUAAAUAGCAUCUCCAUGGUCUGCUCAGAUACUCUUCCUAAUAGGAAAUGUAUAAGGUGUGUAAUGUUCUAAAGUGGAAAAGUCAUUUUUGGUAAUAAUGCUUCUUUGAUCUCCUAGCUUUUCCCUCCUUUUUAGCAUCACCAAAGUGCCUAGAAUUAGCUUACGCAGUUUAUCACCACACUAAAAGCCUAGGUGGUAGAGUACUGAAUUCUUAGGCACACAGGGGUUGGAUUAGGAAGCAUCCUAAGUUGCAUCCCUUCCUCUAGGACAAGAGAUCCUCUGAGGAAGCCUAACCCCUUCCCAUGAUUGAAGUCUGGAAGAGGGAACUUGCAGAGGUACCAUCUCUGGAAAAUUGGGAUAUGAUGAGAAAAUGGGGUAGGACCAUGAAAGCGGCAAAUGUUCAGCAAGGACUUCUCCAGGCUUGGGAUGCUAAUUGGGAUAUUCGCUCAAAACAGGUCUUGGAGCUGUCUCUUUGGAACAGUGUGCCAAAAGACAAAGCAGUUGUUUACUUGUUGGUGGGGAACAAUCCCCAAUCCAGUUCCUAGGUUGAUGGUAAUUGGAAGAGCUUUUGAGGUGACAUUGAUGAAGCCAGAGAGUAAGUUAGAAAACACCCGAACGAAAUGUCUUAUCCUUUGGGAUAAGGCAUGGGGGAAAGGAGUUUACUUCUAUUUACUGGACCUAUGACCAUGCCUUUGUGGCUGGUCAGAUGAUAACUCUUCUUCUUAUCUAGUGCCUCCCCUUUCACUUAACCUUAGGUCUGUCUGAGCCUUACAAUAAAAAAUAGAAGAGGCAGAAAAGGGAUGUCAAAACUAGAGUAAGUAAAGGAGAAACAUACUGUGAGAUAAUAGAAAAAAUUUAAAUGUUAGGGAAGUUGGGCUAUGGCAACAGAGAUAAAGGAGAAACAAAAUCAAUUUAAGCAGAGAUAAGAUAGAUGGGGAAAAACAAAGAAUUAAGAAGAGAUGAAAGGCAGUGACAGAAACUUCUAAAAAACCAGAGACACAAAACAGACAAAGCCUCUUUUCCUCCUUUUUUCCCUUCCUCCUUUCUUCCUACAAAAUUGAGUGUCUACAUUGCCAUGUCCUGUCUAGGCACUGAGGAUGAAAGAUGAACAGGACUUCUUUCUGGCUCUAGAAGAACUCCUGUGUGGUGGGGACCUAGUGCCACGGCUGACUGCUGGGAUUGGGGUAUAAAGUGGGUUUCCAAGGACUGCCUUUUCUGUAUAUGUGUAAGGAGAGGAUGGGAUAAUGGAGACCCCCACAAUCCAGAAUGAGUUCUGUAGUUACUUUUGUAACUGCUCUUGGUUUGAAGGUAGAUCACCUGACGUGAGGGCUAGGAAUUCAGAUUCUCAUGGCUUCUCUUUGGGUGAUGGUAACUGGGCUAUACAGGUACUAGGGAGGAAUGUGUUGCAUGUCAGGGUUAGGAUGUUUCCUGUGUCCCCAGGGCCACACCACAGGCACCUCUUCUUUCCCAAAAGUGCUGCUGAGUUGUCCAGCUGCAACUCUCCUUGGGUUCUCUCCUGGCUGCCAUGUUGGAUGCAAAAGGGAAUUGUUACUUGGAAAAUGCAAAAUAAAGAAGGAACACCUUUAUCACAAAAUAACAAAAAAUAAAGAAACUAAUGUAAAACAUUUUAGUAAUCCAAACUUCAGGGGCCCCUGAAGUCCAAGAAGCCCAAGGACCAGGAAACAAAUAUCCGUCUUAGAAGAGGCCACUGAUAUUUAAAGAUGAGUUAAGGGUCUUUGCUGAAGCUGGGGUAGGACAGAACAAAAACCUUUACUCUGGAUGAGAGAGCCUCUUUGGAAAGGUACUUUUGUACUGGUUAAAAAAGUCCAUAUCAAAAAAAAAAAAAAAAAAUCCAUACCCGGGUUUCCCUGGUGGUGCAGGCAGUUGAGCACAGUGCUAUGAAGCUGUCCACAGCCUCUGCAGUGCCGGUUUGAUCCCCACUGGCCACAGAACAGCCCAUAUGGUGCGGCAGACCUCUCCUGUCUUGCCCACUGCCCCCCUCAGCAAUGUAUUUCGGUCGUGUGCCUGUUCUGUUCCCCACUCUGUUUCUGGUGAAUCCUCUCACCCUCCCGCACAUCUGGCCUGUACCCCGAUUCUUGUAUAAAUAAAAUAAAAAUAGAAUCUUAAAAAAAAACUCCAUACCCUUAAGGUGCAGGGUGCAGAGUUCCCAGAAUGUGGGUCUUCUGAGUCAAGAUUUGUUACACAUCUAGGUUUGAACUGUAAAUAAAAAGGCAUUGAAGAGUAGCUAUGAGUUUCCAGAGUUGUUGGGUGGGUAGACAGGUUGACAGUUUAGGAUUGGGUCUGGGAACCCUUUCCAAUGUGAUCUAUUUAGAAAGUAUUAGCUGAUGCUUGUGAGGGGUUUAAGGCUGCUGGGGCACAAAAGAACCAAGGCACUGGCUUUAUAGACACCAUUCACAGACAAAGCUGGGUGCAGGACGUUAGUUCAAUUACUGUCAUUUUAGCUAACAUCUGAAGUGCUUGGUGGACCAAGUUCCUAUAAAGGGACAGUGCUUUAAGCUGGACAGAUACCUUUACUAAAACAGCAGUACCACCAUAUUUUUCUCAUUUGCCAUGGGCCACUGAAACUCCCACAAAGUUGCGACGAUCCUUGGAUAACAUUUAGUUUCUACUGACCCGAGCCUGGCUCUAUGACCACAGCAAUGAAGAUGUGGAGUCACAGAGCUUGCUAUUCUCUGUUUCUUUAUGUAAACAGCCAAGAGAGGAGUUCAGGUCAUCAAGAAUAAGGACACACACUGUGGAGAUUCUGAAAUCUCUAGUUGUAGGAUUAGGGGUCUCACCUGGUUUUUCACUCCCAGAGAUGAUGGCCAGUUAGCAAAUUCCCAGCACCUUAAUCUUUCAUAAUUAGGAAGUUUGCUUUCUGGCCUUUAUAUUUCCCUUUUGUUAUAUAUUUUGCCUGUUAUAAGAUGAUUUUAACUCUUCUCCCAACUAACUUUCAGCUUUUCCUUAGGAAAAGGUCAGAUAAUUCACAACUAUGAUAGAAAAAACAAAAAACGCUCGUGUCUUAGCAUCUCUGGUAUCUGGUUUUGUUUUGUCUUAUUUUUCUUUAAAUGGUUUUUAGUUUUCUGAACUCAAAACCCUGUUUUUCUAAUGACAUCCUUUCUGGUAACUUGCCUGGCAACAGUGCCUGGAGAAUGCAAAUCAUAAAUAGCAUGAUGUGAUGGAAUCUGGAAUCUGUCAUAGUCCCUUCAACAGUUUUGCUCGAUUUAAAGAGAACUACUUUUAAAGGACUUGCCAUUGAGCUUUCCCUGAGUAGCUAGGGAGUCAAGGUUUGACUGACUCUAAAAUUAAAAAUAUUAGAUGUCAAGAUGAUUUGAACAAUGAUUUAAAAAAAAAAAUUCCUGUGUUCCAACAAGUCUUGGCCUGCCAUUAGCCUUGUGAACUUUGGCAGAUUUGCAGAUACCUUUGGCUUGUGGUUUCAUAGGAAAAACUGGAAUAUUAAUACCUACCUCACAGGGUUGUUGUGAGAAUUAAACGUGCUCUGUUAAUCUAUCAUGUAAAUUUUUGCAAUUUUUUGAAAUUUAAGAGCCAUUAAAAAAUAUUCUCUGGUUACAGAGCAGAUAUGUUGGCAUUUUCACAUCAGAGCAAGGGUUUUUGUUGUCAUGUAUAGUUAAACUGCUGUAGCAAAAUUUUAUUUCUAUGUAAAUAUUUUUGUGUGAAGGUCCAUAACUUUGAUCAGCUUUCUAAAGGAGGUCCGUUACUAGUAAAAGUUAAAAAGUACAGUGCUUCAUUGUUGGAAUGUUGGAUUCAAUAACUUCCAGAGGUUUCUUCUUCAUGUCUGCAGCAGCAGUUGCAAUGUUUUUUAGUGAAAUUCUUAAUGUGGUCUGAUGACUGUAUACACGUUUGCAAUUGGUAGUUCAAGUCUUAAAGAUAUGGUCACGGUAGCCAUUGAUGAUCUAAUUGUAAUGCUAAAAUGGGAGUAAAAUUGUUAACUGUGGCCCUAAGAAAGUUACCUACCUCAUGGAGGCUGUUACCUCAUUUGUAAAGUGAAGGAUUUCACCAAGAUGAUUUCUAAAGCUCCUAGUUUGAAUUCUCUAGGAAAGUGACAGCAAAUCUGGACUUGGAUGGAGUCUCUUUGUGGUAGCAACAAAGCAGGCUUUGUAUAAGAGGAAAGAGUAAGAGUGAGAAGGAGGCAGGGAGAAUUCAAGGGGCCCAUCCUUGGUGAAAAGGGGAAGUUCAAGGUGCUGGAGAUCCAGUGUUAUCAGGACAGGAAUUGCUGGUGAACUGCUUCUUAGCACCUGAGAUUCUGAUGGACAGACUCACCUUUUACCCUGGAACUGAUUUGCCAGCAUGCAAGCUGCCCCUGAGUGAGAAAAUACAGCAUCUUCCCUGCACUCACAGAACAGUCCAGUACUCACAGGAUCAAAUGCCUGGGAUCUUCUCAUCUGCCACGACAGGUGGUUUGUGUACUUCAGGAAAAUACUGCCCUCCAAAAAUGCCUUAAGACACAAAUUACAGAAGAAGACUUGGCUUCUCUGAAAGUAACCCUGACUGAGACUUGGUUCUUUGGACAUAGACAAGGUCCCAUUCCACGAGGAUUUUCACAACAAACAUGAACGACGAGAGAAACUGAGAACAGGACCCCAUGAUAAGAUAUUUCGCUGUCUCUCCAUAAGGAGGACAAGUGUGGUUUUGUGGUGAAGUGUGGGUUACGUGGUUAUGUCAUGUAGGGUUUAAAUAUGUACAUUUCCACUCAUGGAACAAAUGGUUCCAAUGUAUGCUCAGCACCAAGGUGUAUAAAUGCUGCACUAAAACCUUGAGCUCUCUGCCCUCUCACAAUGUGAGCUCUUCACUGUGAUACUAAGGCUCUUUAAUAAAGAGUACUUUGAUAACAUACCAUCGGACAAAGUAUUUGUUUGUAUAAAAUAUCUUUCAAAAACAAUACAAAUUG